CGGCCGCGGGANNUCGAUUAGAGUUUGAUUAUGGCUCAGAUUGAACGCUGGCGGCAUGCCUCACACAUGCAAGUCGAACGUGAAAGGGGGGCAACCCCCGAGUAGAGUGGCGGACGGGUGAGUAAUACAUCGGAACGUGCCCAGUAGUGGGGGACAACCUCGAGAAAUCGAGGCUAAUACCGCAUACGACCCACGGGUGAAAGCGGGGGACCGCAAGGCCUCGCGCUAUUGGAGCGGCCGAUGUCCGAUUAGCUAGUUGGUAGGGUAAAAGCCUACCAAGGCAACGAUCGGUAGCUGGUCUGAGAGGACGACCAGCCACACUGGGACUGAGACACGGCCCAGACUCCUACGGGAGGCAGCAGUGGGGAAUUUUGGACAAUGGGGGCAACCCUGAUCCAGCCAUGCCGCGUGCGGGAAGAAGGCCUUCGGGUUGUAAACCGCUUUCGGCCGGAACGAAAUCGCCGGUGAGAACGUCACCGGUGGAUGACGGUACCGGAAGAAGAAGCACCGGCUAACUACGUGCCAGCAGCCGCGGUAAUACGUAGGGUGCGAGCGUUAAUCGGAAUUACUGGGCGUAAAGCGUGCGCAGGUGGUUCGCUAAGACAGAUGUGAAAUCCCCGGGCUCAACCUGGGAACUGCGUUUGUGACUGGCGGGCUAGAGUGCGGAAGAGGGAGGUGGAAUUCCACGUGUAGCAGUGAAAUGCGUAGAGAUGUGGAGGANCACCGAUGGCGAAGGCAG
rnacentral:rRNA from 1 species